AUCCUUGUUGAUGUGUGGUGUCCAGGACUGGACACAGUACUCUAGACAAGAGCAUUGGGCAAGAAGGCUCAUUUCAUCAAAUACGUUCAGGUCCGAUAUUUGGGGUAGGCCUUGAGGCACGGCACCAUCAAUUGGCUUCCCCCAAGCAGAAGAGGUGGGACAUACAGGCAGAGAAUUCUCUUAUCUUCGUGGCCACUGCUGUGAGAACGGAAAGAGCCAACAGUUUACUGACUCUGCCAAAAUCCCAACCUUACUAAGCUAUGGGGCCAACUCCCUCGUAUGCAACAAUUAAAGUGAACACCUCGCCUUUCGAAGAGAAAACGGCUGUGUUUUAUUUUUACAUUUGUUCCACAAAAGCCCACUCCUUUAUUUAGAAAUUGCAGUGAUUCUGCAACGGCAAUAGGCAUUUCUGAGCACGCACGCAAUACCUUUUCUUGAAAUGCAUUAGGACAAUUCCGAAAGAUAAAGGAGGAAACAGGCACAGAGAAAAGGCACGUGGAAAGAUAAGAGGAUUCAUUUAAUACAGCCAGCACUGGGCUUAAACCCAGAUCAAAGUCUUCAAGCUAUACAGUAAUGUCGGCAUGAGCCUCAUGGUAUGGGGCCAAGGAAGGCAUUAAAUCAUAGGUGAUUCAUUCCUAGCAUCCCCCCCGCCUUUCAUCUUUAUGAGCUGAACAGUAAGGGAGCCUUUAUUCCCUGCAUCUUUGUUCAGCAAAACUGUAAAUAAGUGAGAGCUGAGCUCCAGCUGUAAUAACAAAAGCUGGCAACAGCUUAACAUGCCUGCACUGCUGUUUUUAUUUAUUUAUUUGUUUUAAAACAAAUUUCUUUCUUUCUUUCUUUCUUUCUUUCAGUGGCUUGCAGACUUAUUUUUUGUGGUGAUAUAUUAAAAAUUUUAAAUAGUGGUACAACUCUUUGGUCCCGAGUUCAAGUCACAGAUGAAGCAGAGGGAGGCAGUCACCUCCGCAGGAAGUCAUUGAUAGACCAGCCUCAGGAAGUUGGCAUUGUUGGGCACGGGCCAAGGUCCAUAUUUCAGCAGAAGACUUUUGUUGUUUUUUAUAUAUAAGUGAGUGAUAUAGGCAUUGUUAUGGUUGUUCUUUGCAUGAAUAAACAAAGUGAACGACCAAGAGCA
rnacentral:lncRNA from 1 species